rnacentral:lncRNA from 1 species
CUGUCAGGCCGUAACGAAGUGUCAAGCGUCCUCUCCACGCUCAGCCCGAGGGGCUGCAGAGAAGAGAGAGGAUGAAGCUGAGACCUUCUUCCCUCAGUACAGUAUGGACCACCAUCCUCCAGAGGGCAGUGAGUCCCUCCUCUUCUCCUCCCGCCUGUAGAAAGGAUGUCAGAGGAGGCCUAAAGGAGACUCGGGACUUUCAUCCCCACUCAAAGGUAGCACUGUUUUCCAUUCCUCAGUGACACUGCGGCCAUAGGGGAACAGCCAUGUGACACAUUUCUCCUUCCAAGGCUGGAUGGUCUUAGCAGGAACCUAAUAGCAUCCUGAGCUCUCAAUAACAUGAGGGAGGGCUGCAUGGAGACUCUAGAUUUACAGCCCUGCGAAGGGAUGAGCCAGUAUGUUGCUUCUUGGGAGCAGCAGGAGGUGACUGCCAAAGUGAAAGUCAUGAGACCUCAGCUCAGGCGCUCAUAAUGCAAAAAAAUGCACUAAGGUCAAGGAAAUCUCAAGCCAACAGAGGAAAGAUAAUCUACAGAUACCAACCUCAAGAUGACACUGAGGUUAGAAUUAUCUGACAAAGACUUCAAUGAUGCCUUUAUAUAUAUAUAUAAAAAAAAAACACUUCAAGAAGAAUCACACACUCAUGGGCCUGAGGCAGGAAGGUGGCUGCCUUAAUCACUUUUCAUGACUGUGAUGAAGCAGGGCUGAAGCAAGAAGAUCACAAAUUCAAGAUUGAUCUAUCUCAAAAACGAAAGAGAGAAAGUCAAGGCGGUUGUGAUGGUGGCUCACACCUUUGGUCCCAGAACUUGGGAGGCAGAGGCAGAGGGAUUGCUGAGUUCAAGGCCAGCCUGGUCUACAGAGUGAGUUCCAGGACAGCCAGAGUUACACAGAAAAACCUUGUCUCAAAAAAAAAAAAAAAA